AUUGAACGCUGGCGGCAGGCCUAACACAUGCAAGUCGAGCGGCAGCGGGAAAGUAGCUUGCUACUUUUGCCGGCGAGCGGCGGACGGGUGAGUAAUGCCUGGGAAAUUGCCCUGUCGAGGGGGAUAACAGUUGGAAACGACUGCUAAUACCGCAUACGCCCUACGGGGGAAAGCAGGGGACCUUCGGGCCUUGCGCGAUUGGAUAUGCCCAGGUGGGAUUAGCUAGUUGGUGAGGUAAUGGCUCACCAAGGCGACGAUCCCUAGCUGGUCUGGGAGGAUGAUCAGCCGAACUGGAAAUGAGACACGGUCCAGACUCCUACGGGAGGCAGCAGUGGGGAAUAUUGCACAAUGGGGGAAACCCUGAUGCAGCCAUGCCGCGUGUGUGAAGAAGGCCUUCGGGUUGUAAAGCACUUUCAGCGAGGAGGAAAGGUUGAUGCCUAAUACGUAUCAACUGUGACGUUACUCGCAGAAGAAGCACCGGCUAACUCCGUGCCAGCAGCCGCAGUAAGAC
rnacentral:rRNA from 1 species